rnacentral:lncRNA from 1 species
UUGGAUGCGAUGAUCUGCUACUCACACUCAGGUAUGAGAUUUUGAUGUAAAUUAAUUUUUAGAUUAAUCUAAAUAUAAAUUAGAUAUGAUCUAAUUACACUAGAUAUGUUCAGUAUAUGCUGAUUUUAGAUUUCAGAUGUACAUAUAUGCAUAUUAGUUCGUGUCAUAGAUCCUAUAUGGUGAUUUAGAUUUUAUCUAAGCAUGCUUUAUAGAUUAAAUUGUUUAAUCUAUAUAUGCUCCACUGUAAAAUUUUAAAAAUACAUGCACAUCACCUACCAUGCUUCCCAAC